ACAACGAACUAUGAGAAGUCAGCAGAAGUCAUAGUACUAGAAGAUAACUUCUAGGAAGGAC
rnacentral:ncRNA from 1 species